rnacentral:rRNA from 1 species
CUGGGAUAAGCGCUGGAAACGGCGUCUAAUACCGGAUACGAGCUGCGAAGGCAUCUUCAGCAGCUGGAAAGAACUUCGGUCAGGGAUGAGCUCGCGGCCUAUCAGCUAGUUGGUGAGGUAACGGCUCACCAAGGCGUCGACGGGUAGCCGGCCUGAGAGGGUGACCGGCCACACUGGGACUGAGACACGGCCCAGACUCCUACGGGAGGCAGCAGUGGGGAAUAUUGCACAAUGGGCGCAAGCCUGAUGCAGCAACGCCGCGUGAGGGACGACGGCCUUCGGGUUGUAAACCUCUUUUAGCAGGGAAGAAGCGAAAGUGACGGUACCUGCAGAAAAAGCACCGGCUAACUACGUGCCAGCAGCCGCGGUAAUACGUAGGGUGCAAGCGUUAUCCGGAAUUAUUGGGCGUAAAGAGCUCGUAGGCGGUUUGUCGCGUCUGCUGUGAAAACCCGAGGCUCAACCUCGGGCCUGCAGUGGGUACGGGCAGACUAGAGUGCGGUAGGGGAGAUUGGAAUUCCUGGUGUAGCGGUGGAAUGCGCAGAUAUCAGGAGGAACACCGAUGGCGAAGGCAGAUCUCUGGGCCGUAACUGACGCUGAGGA